rnacentral:rRNA from 1 species
ACUCCUACGGGAGGCAGCAGUGGGGAAUAUUGCACAAUGGGCGCAAGCCUGAUGCAGCAACGCCGCGUGAGCGAUGAAGGCCUUCGGGUCGUAAAGCUCUGUCCUCAAGGAAGAAUAAAUGACGGUACUUGAGGAGGAAGCCCCGGCUAACUACGUGCCAGCAGCCGCGGUAAUACGUAGGGGGCAAGCGUUAUCCGGAAUCACUGGGCGUAAAGGGUGCGUAGGCGGUUUUUCAAGUCAGAAGUGAAAGGCUAUGGCUCAACCAUAGUAAGCUUUUGAAACUGUUAAACUUGAGUGCAGGAGAGGAAAGUGGAAUUCCUAGUGUAGAGGUGAAAUUCGUAGAUAUUAGGAGGAACACCAGUGGCGAAGGCGACUUUCUGGACUGUAACUGACGCUGAGGCACGAAAGCGUGGGGAGCGAACAGGAUUAGAUACCCUGGUAGCACAGAG